rnacentral:tRNA from 1 species
AGGAUAAUAGUUAAUUAUAACAUUUAAUUUGCAUUUAAAAGGUAUUGCUCAGCAAUUUGUCUUU